rnacentral:misc_RNA from 1 species
GAUGAAGAACGUAGCGAAAUGCGAUAAGUAAUGUGAAUUGCAGAAUUCAGUGAAUCAUCGAAUCUUUGAACGCACAUUGCGCCCGCUAGUAUUCUGGCGGGCAUGCCUGUCCGAGCGCCAUUUCAACCCUCAAGCCCCCGGGCUUGGUGUUGGGGAUCGGCGAGCCUCCGCGCCCGCCGUCCCCUAAAUCUAGUGGCGGUCUCGCUGUAGCUUCCUCUGCGUAGUAGCACACCUCGCACUGGGAAACAGCGCGGCCACGCCGUUAAACCCCCAACUUCUGAACGUUUGACCUCGGAUCAGGUAGGAAUACCCGCUGAACUUAAGCAUAUCAAUAAGCGGAGGA